rnacentral:lncRNA from 1 species
AAAAAUGUCUAGAAAAGAUAUUUAAUAGACCUUGUUUUUGAAUUGAUAAGUGAUCUUGAAAUUGAAUCUGCAUAAAGACAUGCUCUAACGGACUUGACAAUGAUUCAAAACACAAGCUGACAUGAAGUACUUGAGGUUCUUAUGAUCUACAUAUACAGUGAUUGUGAGCGCAAAAUCCACCACUUUAUGGAUUUAAUACUA